rnacentral:rRNA from 1 species
AUUGAACGCUGGCGGCAUGGCUAAAACACGCAAGUCGAACGAUCCCUUCGGGGAGAGUGGCGAAAGGGCGAGGAAUAGAAUCGAAUGUACCCCAAGGUGGGGGAUAGCCUCUGGAAACGGAGGGUAAUACCCCAUGUGCUCUACGGAGGAAAGGUUUACCGCCUUGGGAGCAGCGAUUCUCCUAUCAGGUAGUUGGUGAGGUAACGGCUCACCAAGCCGAAGACGGGUAGCGGGUGUGAGAGCAUGACCCGCCGCAUCGGGACUGAGACACUGCCCGGACUCCUACGGGAGGCUGCAGUAACGAAUCUUCCGCAAUGGGCGAAAGCCUGACGGAGCAAUGCCGCGUGUGGGAUGAAGCAUCUUCGAUGUGUAAACCACUGUCAGGGUCUAGGAAUACUGACCAGACCCAAAGGAAGGGCCGGCUAAUUCCGUGCCAGCAGCCGCGGUAAUGUCGUACG